GAUGAACGCUGGCGGCGUGCUUAACACAUGCAAGUCGAACGGUGAAGCUCCAGCUUGCUGGAGUGGAUCAGUGGCGAACGGGUGAGUAACACGUGAGCAACCUGCCCCUGACUUUGGGAUAACAGCCGGAAACGGCUGCUAAUACCGGAUAUGCACCAUGAACGCAUGUUCUGUGGUGGGAAAGAUUUUUCGGUUGGGGAUGGGCUCGCGGCCUAUCAGCUUGUUGGUGAGGUAAUGGCUCACCAAGGCGUCGACGGGUAGCCGGCCUGAGAGGGUGACCGGCCACACUGGGACUGAGACACGGCCCAGACUCCUACGGGAGGCAGCAGUGGGGAAUAUUGCACAAUGGGCGAAAGCCUGAUGCAGCAACGCCGCGUGAGGGAUGACGGCCUUCGGGUUGUAAACCUCUUUUAGCAGGGAAGAAGCGAGAGUGACGGUACCUGCAGAAAAAGCGCCGGCUAACUACGUG
rnacentral:rRNA from 1 species